CUGCCUUCUAAGAGUUCAGUUGGAGCCAAUGUCUUUCUUUUGAACAUCUUGUGCCAGGAUUUGAAAUUAAGCUCCAGUUCAUCCGUACACCCCGCGGCCGCUUUCGCAAGGGGCCGAGGGGGUGGCGGCCUCGCCCGGGGACUCGCGGCGCUGGGAGCUGCCUGCCCUCGGUGCGGGCUGCAGACCGGGCCGCGAGGCGGGCCGGGCGCGGGCGCGCAACAGGACCAGCGGGCUCCAGGCCCGGGUGGGGCCGCGCCGCCGACCCCCGGGCGGGGCGCGGGCGCCAGGAGCCCGGGGUUCCGGGCCGCGAUCUGCUGCAGCUCGGCCGGGAGACGGCGCGACCCGGCGGCGGGGCCACCCGCGAGUCCAGCGUCGCCGCAGCCCCCCAAUGCGGCCGCGAGAAGCAGCGGGGGGGCAGGCGAUCGAAGGGCUGUGGUUCUGGGCCUUACUCUGGCCUUCUCUGAUGCCCCUGGGAAGAGCACAACUCUACAUAAACUGGGGCAGAUUGAAGAAUUAGUCCAUUGGGAAUUAUUGCCAGUAUGGAUCCAGAAGAAAGGCUAUUGUUUUGUUCUCCCAUCUCACCAACAAGGAGGUAAAAGAUUGCUCACUUCUCUCACAAGCCUUGCCAUCCACUUCCCAUUUCCAAAUACAUAGAAAUCAAAACAUUCAGUGUUGGGACUUACCCCAUGGCAAUGCAGCCGUCCUGCAAACACAUGGGUUGGAUUCCUGAAACGUGCCUGGGAAAGUGAGCUAGCAUAAUGCUAUGGAUAUUCGUCUUCUGGUGGUUGGUGUCCCCUGAAUGCACGUGAGUGGAUUAGCAAUGCACAUGACUACUUGGUUUGUAUAUUCUCUGACUGAGUGACCCAGUUCCUGGCCCAGGAACAGGAUGAGCAAAGCUUGCUGGGUACCGUCAGGGAACCCUUCCAGCUGGGGCAUGGGGGCACCUGCCUUCCUAGUCCAGGUUGCAAACCAGUGUCAGAGCAAGGUGAGGAGGAGAGUCCCUGCUGUCCGUUAGGCUCUAGUCAUUUCCUUUGUAGCUGUGUAGAUAAAUAGAAGUAAGGGCAAAUCCUAUGGGCUUGAUAUUAGAGCCUGUUUCAUGGCGUUACAUCUGUCUUUGGAAGCAGCCACUGUGUGUGAGCCUCUGACUUUUCCUCCAAUUGCUAACCAUCUUGAAUAUUUUAGAAACCCUCUUAUGUGUUAAUAUGCCCAGUGAGACAAGAAUCAUGAUUUCUCCUUCACCAGUGACCAAACAGAGCUGCGGAGUUGUCACGGGAUGUAGUGAAAAAUCACACACUUGUAACCGAGCCAGCCUGUGCCAGAAGCCCAGCCCCGACUCGGUCCUACUGUUGUCUCUCAGAUGGGGAAGUGGCUCUAUCUAUAAAACGUGUGGUUGCUAUGAAUUACCGGUGUUGGUAAGGAGAAUUGGAAGCAUUCUCUUUUCUAGAUUACCUUUCAAAUAUUCAAAUUCAUGCACCAGUAGCAUAUGGCUAGAACUUUUAUUUUUUC
rnacentral:lncRNA from 1 species